rnacentral:rRNA from 1 species
CGCGUAGGCGGCUUUGUUUGUCGCGUGUGAAAGCCCCGGGCUCAACCUGGGAGGUGCGCGCGAGACGGCGGGGCUGGAGUUCGGGAGAGGAGCGUGGAAUUCCCAGUGUAGAGGUGAAAUUCGUAGAUAUUGGGAAGAACACCGGUGGCGAAGGCGGCGCUCUGGACCGAGACUGACGCUGAGGCGCGAAAGCGUGGGGAGCAAACAGGAUUAGAUACCCUGGUAGUCCACGCUGUAAACGAUGUGUGCCAGACGUUGGGAGGCCUAGCCUCUCGGUGUCGCAGCCAACGCGGUAAGCACACCGCCUGGGGAGUACGGCCGCAAGGUUAAA